rfam:Clostridium cylindrosporum DSM 605 CLCY_12c, whole genome shotgun sequence.
UCAAGUGAUGAUGGCAGAGAGGAUACACCCGUUCCCAUUCCGAACACGAAGGUUAAGCUCUCUAACGCCGAUAGUACUAGUCUGGAGACGGACUGGGAGGGUAGGAAGUCGCUUGGU